ACAUGCAGUCGAACGGCAGCACGGGGGCAACCCUGGUGGCGAGUGGCGAACGGGUGAGUAAUACAUCGGAACGUGUCCUGUAGUGGGGGAUAGCCCGGCGAAAGCCGGAUUAAUACCGCAUACGAUCUACGGAAGAAAGCGGGGGAUCGCAAGACCUCGCGCUAUAGGGGCGGCCGAUGGCAGAUUAGCUAGUUGGUGGGGUAAAGGCCUACCAAGGCGACGAUCUGUAGCUGGUCUGAGAGGACGACCAGCCACACUGGGACUGAGACACGGCCCAGACUCCUACGGGAGGCAGCAGUGGGGAAUUUUGGACAAUGGGGGAAACCCUGAUCCAGCAAUGCCGCGUGUGUGAAGAAGGCCUUCGGGUUGUAAAGCACUUUUGUCCGGAAAGAAAACUUCUGCCCUAAUACGGUGGGAGGAUGACGGUACCGGAAGAAUAAGCACCGGCUAACUACGUGCCAGCAGCCGCGGUAAUACGUAGGGUGCGAGCGUUAAUCGGAAUUACUGGGCGUAAAAGCGUGCGCAGGCGGGCUCGUUAAG
rnacentral:rRNA from 2 species